rnacentral:tRNA from 1 species
AGCUUCAGCUCAGCUGGUAGAGAGUGCGCAUACAAAGCGUAGGCCGCUUCCAUGCGUGGGUUCGAAUCCCACCGAGGCUG